ACACCAUAAAGAGAAGGCGAGAGACAAGCUCUAUGACCCUUCAGCAACCUGCAUAAUGUAAGGUGCUAAUGCUUGAUAGAUGGCUCUAUAUGAAAU
rnacentral:ncRNA from 1 species